CUCGCCUUUCCUCCGUCCCCGGAUUGGUGAAGACAAGGCAAGCACAAGUCUCCGUCCGCCCCGCACCCAGCCCUUCCUCGGCGACGUGCCUCCUCUAUAUGGCCCAGCUUCCCAGAGUCCCUGGGUCUUUCUGGCCACUUCCAUCCCGUGCCCAAAUGCUGGAAUCCUUAUAUUGAAGCCAGAACCCAUUUCUCCGGCCAAAUCAGUGGUCAGUGGCCCCUAAGGCGACCGUUCUUGGGCGCGGCUCGGAGAAGCAGCUUUGCAGGCAGAAGGCGCGCUCCUGGCUGCAAGGAGCCGCGUACACCGCGCGGCGAGGACGCUGGGAGCUACUACGGUCCGCUGACCGCCCCGGGACUUUGGGGCUGCGUAAGGAACUCAUCAGUGUCAACCGAUUAGAAAUCAGGGGUUAAGAAGAAAGCCACGGUUACUCUAGCCUCUGGCGGGCAAAGUUGUCCAGGUCCUGCCUGCCUGCCGGCUUUCUCUUCCUCUUUCCUUGCAUCCGUUUCAUCCGUUUCUCCCCCCUUCCUUUCAGACUCAUUCUUGUUCUUUCUUCUCUCAAAUCGCUUUUCCUCAACCAUACCCGGCCAACACUCUCCCUCCCCAAGACAGUCUGAGACUCAUAUUGCAGCUGGAAAACGUAUCACUUAAGAGAAAGCUGUUCCAGGGGAAAGAAUUCGAAAUGAAGUGAAAGGGAUAUCAGAGGAGAGAGAGGGAGACCCCGCCCCGAUAGUCCAGAACACGCUGUAACAAAGCAAAGUCCACGGGAGCUUCACGCUCUACCCUCCAACCUGGCUGCAGGCACCAAAGCAGAACUUCUCCUAACUCAAGCUAAGAAUAGGGAAUAGAAGUCAAGCUCGGGGCCCGGCCCUGCCCCCUCCCGCAGGCGGGGCUGGGGGAGGGGAGAUUUCUCCAGCCGGCUGAUGCUCCCUUGCUCAACCCGGGCCCCUUGGCUGCGGCGGUCUGGGGGAGGGGCGCGGAGCCGCACUGGAGCCUGCCGGGCCCUCGCGCCGAGCCAGGGCCACGGCCAGGGACCUGCGGUCCGACCCGGGCUGACGGCGGCGGCGUACUGGGAGCCGGUGGGAAGAUGAUUGUAGCUGGGACCGCGGAACUGCAGGAGGGAGACCACGAGGAAGUGUUGGGGGAAGCCAAGCCUCAGCUCAGCCCGCGCAGCAAGCACCUACCUGAUUCCAGGGAACCGGAGUCCUGCGGUGGCAGGUGAGCAGUAGACGCUGCUGUGCAUUAUUAUCCCGUAGACCAGGAGGGCCAGCCUCGCUCCGCUACACAUGGUCAUUCUGCGCAGGAGGGGAAAGAGGACACACAGCUGUCAAAACAGCCCCUGGUCUUUCGCCCUCCAGCCCCAAGAAACUCCCCGAGCUGGGGGAGGGGUCGGCUCCCAGUGUUGAAUACCGCUUAAUGACAGCCCGCGCGCGCCCUGCCACUUCCCUCUCUCUAUAGUUAGAAAAAAUAUGUAUGUAUAUACCCGGGGCCCAAUAACUCGCCAGACCUGGUGCGAAGGAAAGCUAACUCAUACCCUGAUGCUGGUCAAAGAAUCAGCAAAGGAGUCGUUUGAUUAGGGAAGAUAUUUUCCCCUCACCAUUCAACUCUUACCGCUGCUAGGAGAGGCUUUGUUGCCAAGUAGGACGGCGGGCAAAGGGCUCCUCCAAGUUUCUGCGCUGGAGUCACAACCCAAGAGGCAUCACCGUCUGGCGUUAGUGUCUGAGGAGCCGCAGGAAUGAGCAGCAGCAGCAGGAGGAGCUGGAGGACUUGUUUGCUGAGGCCAGUAUUCUGUUCAAAAGUUUGCAGACGCACGGAACUAGGAGGAAGCGUGACAGGGAGAGAAGGGGGCGAGGAGAGAGAUGUAGAAGGGAGAAAGAGGAGGCGAGGAGCUAAAGUGGGGGGUGGGGGACAAAGUGGCCUAAGUCCACCAGGAGAAAGAAGUAAGUGAUUAAGGAAAAGAGGGAAAAUCGAAGGGGAGGAAGGAAGAGGGAGGGCCGCGUGUCAGCCGGCGUCCGUCGGAACCGCCUGGUCAGGCAGUUGUGCAAGUCGGCAGCGCCUUCUCUACUCUGAGGUCCCUCUGGCUGCGUCUGAAGCUGCGGCUUCUGCUGCUGCUGCCGGUGGUUACUGAGGUGACCAGCCCUCUGCUCCUAUUUAUAUGUGCAGUUAGCAGAAAUCUAUCUGAAUGUGGUUUUAGAAGAGGCUUCCUUGUCAACAUCUGUCUGCCUAUGGCCUUUAAGUACAGAAUAUUUUGUUGCACUGUUGCGCUCCGAUUUUUAUUCAUGGAAUGACUUCCUUUUUUUUUUUUUUUUCCAGUCACGUAAUGAUCGGGUAUCAGAAAAAGACGUCAGCAUCCUAGUCCCUCAAGGAACAUAUUAACUAUUUUGUGCUGUCCUCUUGGAUGAUAAGAUCCGGAGUCAUCGACUUCUCAUAAACACCUUUCACUGAUACAAUCCAAUUUUUAAGAAGUGCAAUUAUUUUGAUGGUUUUCAAUUUUGCCCAUUUCUCAAGGAUGGGUAAAGAAUUCAUACAAUUUCGAGGGUGGUAAAAGUCAUGUUUUUAAUUAUGUCUCUAUGAUUUCUCUUUACUUUUCAUCAAACCUCAGCAAUCAGAGCUCUGGCCUCUAGAAUUAAGCACCCUCAAGCUCUCCUAUUAAUAAAUUUAAUUUAGAUCUCCUAAUUUCUUGCGUAUGUUCUUUUAGAUAGACAAUUAAAUGUGGAAGUCGUUUUGUUUUUAAAGGGAAGUCUUGGAGGAUUUUCAGUAAAUCGCUAAUGAGUCUGGCUGUCGUUAACAGUCUGGCUUGGAGUAAAUUGAUUAGAGUCAAAGCGGUGUCCGGAGCGCGGCCUGCGGAGCUGUCCAAGCUCUGAGUGCUGAACUCUGGUCAUUGAAACGUUGAAAAUUGCCAUUGGUUUAAUUUUUCACCAGAGCCUCUAAAUCUGAAGAUUUGGCACUGAUAUUAUUAAUGUGGCAAUUCAUUUUCCAAGUCUCCCCGCUGUUCAGAUAUGCCCCCCUCCAUCAGUGUCCAUGAUUGCUCUUAAUGCUGAGAAUAGUCAGACCCUGACUACAUUUGAGUAAAGAGCAUUCUGUUUCCUGUUAGUCCUGGCUUUUAGAUCUCUAGACGGCCUAUUUGGACACCUUCACACUUUCUGUGACUCUUACUUAUUUUAAAGAUUAGAAUUGAGAAAUUGUAUUUUCCACAAAAAUUGAAAUUUUAAGAAUUUGGGAGUGAGAAAUAUUUUCUCCUCUUAUUUACAACUUAAGUUCUGUUUGGAGAAAUACAGACAGACUGGGAAAGUACGAGGAUUCCCAGUACAAGUUCACUAGCUGAGGGUUUCUAACGGGAAUCCCUCCACUGGGAACCGUUAAAUUUUUUUUUAGCUGAAAAUGACGUGGAAAGAGGAAAGCAAUAAGGGAAGACUAGAGCCACAUGGAGGCUUUCAAGCCCUUGAGCAAUUUAGGAAGAUUCCUAAAUUUCUACUCCAGUAAGAGAAAAUCAGGUCUAUUUCUUU
rnacentral:lncRNA from 1 species